GGCGCCGAGGCCGGACGUCCUGCCCCGCGCCCGGCCGGAGCCGGAGCCCCGCUCGUCCGGCAGAAGCCGAAGCUUAACAAAUGAUGUAAGGAAGAUGGAUACCACGCUUCUUAUUCAGUCCAUCCUAAGAAUUACAGAUGCUGGAUAAAGUCUCCCUCCUGUAACUGAAACAGCAGCAUGACUAAUGAGUGUUUCUCUCCAGUGAUCUAAUGGCAAGUGAUCUUUCUCAUGCCAUGCACAUUGCUACACUGUUCCCUACCAUAACAAGUUCACUGGAUUAUACAGUUCAUCCUCUACCAGAAGUGCCCACGAAGAGAAGCAGCUUGAAGAGUGACACCUGAAUGCCAGAUGACAUACAGAUUUACAGAAGUAUAUGAUUUGGAAGGAUAAAACUUCCUUGUGGUGUACUCAUGACAAGGUGGAAUACCUGUGGCGUACUCAUGACUGUGUUGUCAAAGGCAGACGAAGGAGAAGUCAGAUUAGAAGCAGAAACUAAGCAAGGAGGUGUUUAUGAUGGGAAAGGCACUGAACAGCAUCAAGCAAGGCUACAAGACUAGGAACAGCAGCAGCAACAGUAGAAAAAGAACAUGGAACUGAGAAAAUUGAGAAAGCAUACGUACCAUGGGAGGGGGUAAGAGCUAACAAAGACUCUGUGAGGGCCAGUGGCCAAGAAGACAAGCACAAUGAAAAACAGCAGGGGGCCUAGCUGACUUUGCAAGAAUUUAAAAUAAGGAAAACAGGAAAAAAUGAGAAUCUCCAUGCUGUAGAGAGAGCAUUUGUUGGGACAGCAGUGAAGCAGGUUUGCUCUGUACACUGCAAGAAAGUCCUUGGCACACAACUAGGUACUGCAUGGUCAUCUUGCUUGCAGCAGCAAUCUCUUCAAAAUGUUCACUCUGGUUUCAAAUUGUUCAACAGGACAGUUGUGACUACUGGCAUCUGGGCUAAUGUCAUUCUACAGAUUGGGAUCUGAUGGCUCAUUUUCCCAUAUGUCAUUCACAAUGCCAGUAAAAGAAAUGAACAAGUCACAGACACACAGUAUGCUCCUCCCUUCUCAUCUCCCUGCAAAUAGGUAUCAGGAUCCCUGCAGUCUUACAGCAGCCAGCAGAAACAGUCGGGCCAGCUGGCAGGCAGCAGCACCUGCCCAUGAGAAGCACAACGUGGCAGCUGCUCUUCUGCUGGCUGCUGUCAGGGGCAGCCUACAAACCAGUGGACGGAAGCUCUGCCUUAAGGUAACUGCUGUUAUUCCCUAGAAGCUGCAGAAUUGAAGCUGUCAUUUCUCAUCACCUUUUCUGGCAUUCUCCACAGAUGCAGGAUUGGGUACACAGAGAUCUCUGGUGACCAGGGCAGUCACAGUUUCCCUGCUUCUUUGCAAAAGCAAAACCUCAUGAAACUCAAGUUAUUGAACGGCCUUUGAAUUUAUAUCAAGAAAUUAUCUCCAGAACAGCUCAUCUUGGCUGUACUUAACAAACUCAAUUCCUACCUGAAGCCAGGGAUGCUCUAAGGCUUCCUCUAUCGUAAAACGUUUGCUUGGAUCCACUACCAACAGCUUCUUCACAAGAUCAAGAGCUAAGAUAAUAAGAGUUAAGCAAUCAGCUACUUAAAAAAUGCAAACAGAUCAACAUGCAAUGUACCACAAAAAUGAAAACUGAAAGGAAGUUAAAACAAACUUCAACAAAAGAAAAGAUCUAGAUAUUCUGCUACCUAUAUAAAGGAGUCAUACCCAUGUUGGAUACGUGUUUCCAUUCUUUUGAAAUGAAUGUGUAUUCUCCACGAGUGAUUUGGUCUUUCAGAGAUAGUUGAGUAUUUUGCUCAUUAAAUGGCGGAUAUCCACACAAGCUAUAUGAAAGAAAACAAACAACACGGGUUUUGUCACAGUGUCAUUUACAUGUAUACAUUUUUAAACACACUUUCACUUCCUACUAAAUACACUGAAGUUGCCACAUCUUGAGCCACGUAUCUCAAUGAAAGCCCAAGGCAUCUAAGCAGUAUCUUACCAUACAAAAAGAAUAACUCCUAAACUCCAGCAGUCCACAGCUCGGCUGUAUCCAGCAGUCCCAAGUGAAUUUAGAACCUCAGGAGCAAGAUACGUGGGAGUACCACAUAAUGUUUUCAUAAGAGAAGUUUCUCCAAGAAUCUUGGAUUGUCCAAAAUCUGUAAUCUUGUAUGUAAAAAUUGUAACACCACGUUACAUAUUGACUGGACUAGAACAUACCACAUCCUCAGCACAAUAGAGGUAACAUUAAGUCUCUUCUUUCCAAGGCACAGUUCCAGUACAAGACUAUGAACAGAAUAUACCUCAAACAUUAUUAAAGUCAGCAAACAGCAAUUGAGGAGAAUAUGAGUACGGAGAAAUAUGACAGAGGAUCAGACUUCAAACUAGCAAAAAGUAUUCUCAAAUCUGGAUGUGAACGGGCAACCUCAGAAUAAAGGUAUUUUUGCAUAUUAGAAGACACCACUUGAACAAAUCAUUUUGACAUGCACAUCUACUUAAUGCUUUCUGAAAAUACAUACAGCUCUGUCAUCAUAUAGCCUGGAUAUUCGUGAAAAUGCUUUCUGAAAUUCACAAAUAUAGAUUUUAUUUUUAAAGAUGGCACCACAUUUAAAAUUGUGCCCAGUUAAAUGUUAAAGAAUACAGUUUCUCAGUCAUUCUCACAGAAACGUAUGGGUAGAACUAUCCACGAGAGUAAAACUGAACAUAUGAAAAGCCUCAAAGUUUUAGGUUACUUCACAACUUGUAUGAGUAAUUCUAUUGUUUGUGUGCUGUGUUUAACUCAAUACUGAGAAGCACAGAAAGGAGUACUCCCAAAUCUCCACAUAAGCAGUAGAAAUGUAAGCUUCCUUGCCUUUAUCAGACACGUCUCUUCAGAAGAUGAAAGCAGCACGUUCUCUGGCUUCAGAUCCCGGUGUAUGAUUCCAUUGUCAUGAAGAUACUAGAUAAACACAAAUAUACAUACAUGAAGAAGAGCAGACUGUUAUCCUUCUUUAAGAUGUAUGCUUUCAGUUUUUCAACUAGCACUGGCAGGAUAACUGAAACUGCUAUUCAAGAGACAUGCAUGAAUUUAAAGCUACACAGCUCAUGACCUUUUUUAAAGCCAAAGAAGUCCACCCUUCAGUUUGCAAAGACUGAAAUGCUUCGUCAGGGCGCACAGUGCAGCACUUAAGCACUAAUAGUUUGAAGGCUUUGCUCACACACUACUGCAAGUCCCACAUGAUAAUCCUGCCUCAGUGAGCACAGUGUGUGUUACUGCCUCAAUCUCUGGUGGUUGUUUUAAGCAGUAAGAGAGUUUGAAUGCUAUUUGGCUGUACUGAAGUGCAGAAUCUUGUUACAAUUACUUGUGAAUAGCACUGUGCUGAUUACUCUCAUAAGUUUCAGAAGUGACAAAUAACAAAAAAAUUCAUCCAAUUGACAUGUAAAUGCAUCACCAUAUUUUCCUUGAUAGAAUUCACAAUUACCUUCACAGCCAGCAGCAUCUGAUAAAAGUACAACUUGCAGGUACCUUCUUUCAUCUUGAUUGGCCUUGACACUCUGUCAUACAAUUCUCCUCCUUCCAUCCUAAAACAGAUGUAGGUAACAAGUCAAUAAAUUACUUUCAAAAGUUUCAUCUCAUUACACAAGACCAAGACCAAAAUUGUUUCUUUUGGCUCUAAAAUAUAUUUCAAUUCUGAAAAUGAAUGAGCAAUGCUCCAAACACAGCACAGGCAUUGCUGACUUAAGGCCUAAUCUUCUGAAGUGUUCACUGGAAGAAGUUACAAGAUUUCUGAUUUACAUCCUCUUAUCAGCUCAAAAUCAAGUAGCAGCAACCCAAAUCGGCAGCAUAGUGGGUGUCUAUUCAAGGCACUAAUUGCCUUCAGUGUGUAGAAGUGAUUAAUCCCCUCAUUAUCCCAGCUCCUGAUUUUUCAGAGGCUUCAGACAGUGCUUGAAGCCAGCAAAAGGAAAAGAAAACAAGAAGAAAACACACAUACACAACAGAAUUCAGAACUAUUUACAUUCUUUAUAGCUGUGGAAGACAUUUCAUGCCUUUACUUUCAAAGCAGUUACUUACAGUUCCAAAACAAUGUAGUAAUCCUCUGCUUCGAAGAAGUUUUUGAUCUUGAUUAAGCAAGGCUAAUAAAAAGGGAACACAGAUGGACACAUGGAAAAGUAGAAUCACUUGUAAAAACUAAUGCUAUCAACUGCGUAUCAUCUUGAAUUUCCUAUUUCAGUCUGAUUUCCCCAUGGCAGCUAAAUUAGCACUUACACAACCAAUAGGCUUUGGCAAACAAAGUCUGUUGUCUUCUCCCCUGUACUUCACCCCCCAUACAAAUAACACUGAAUUCUUGCCACCACUACAGCUCAGCAGUCACCCUUACUUUUUCCAGUCAUCAGUUUCCACAACAACCCCGAUAUCUUCUUGAUACACAAGAGUUCAUUAAUCUGUGCAAGCUUUCUACUUAACAAAAGGAAAAUAAAAGCCUUUGGGUGGGGGGGAGCUGGGAAGAUAAGGAUCCAGCUCAAGAACUUGCCAGAGGAGUCUAAUGUUGGUUAUCUGGCAAUCUGUAUGAAGCCUGCAUCAAGGACAGAUUUCUCCCACAGCUAUAGUUCAGGUUGAAAACUCCUCUGCAAAGUGCCUUCCCAAAUUUACAUCUGGACAUCAAGACUUUAAAACCUCCUACCUGCAAAGAUACAGUAUACUUAAAAUAAUAUGAAACGUGCUGAACAGACUUAUUUAGGCUGCAAUAAUGACAUGCAUCAUUCUCUAAACAGGUAAAAUCAGUCGUUACUAUGCUAGGUCUGUGAAGCAGAAGAGUGCAGUACACAGCAGAAUGAAUACAAAUGUACAGUGACACUCACAUGAUCUAUUUUCUUCAAAAUCUCUAUUUCUGUGUUGAUAUUAAAAGCCGGGUUCUGUUAAAAGAAUCAAAUGUCAUAUGGAAUCAUACAGCAAUAUUCUAGGAUAAGACACUUCAGAAAUAAAGUUCCAACUUAAAAUCUUAAUCUCAGCCAGCAGAGACCAGCACUGUCCUUUGAACAGCUUUCUCCUCCCUUCGAGAUGUUUCCCACAUGAGCUACCCUAAAGUUAAAUGCUACUCACUUUUACUCUUUAUUAUGCUAGAGAAAAUAAAAAGAUUGAUCUGAAAGUAUCUGCAUCUACCUCCUCCUCUGAACCUCUACCACUGGAAAUUAGAGAAGCAUUCACUGAGCUUGUAUAUAAUCCUGCAGAAUUAACAAGUUCAUCCUGUAUCUCUAUAUCAAACGAGAGUGAUCGAUCUGAAGUUGUUUGAGUAUCUCUCAUGUUACAGCCACGGCUCCUUCUCCAGCAGCUAUGAAAGCAGACAUGAGGAAAGCCCUCCCCAGCAGGCUUCACACCAUUUCAUUUAAGUGUUAUGAUGGAAUGUACAACACGAUUAGCAGAGCUUAGAGACCUCUGGUCAGACCUCCCUGCAAUGUAAAUUUCUGAUGUGCUUUAGGAGAUACAUCCCAAGACUUCCCCACUCCCCUCGUUUGUGUGUGCUGCAUGAACAAGCAGUCCUAACAGAGUGUGGUCAAAGAAUAAAAGCAAGUGUUUGCUACACAAGAGGGAGAGUAAGAGAUAAAGGCUGCCAUAUCAGGAUGGCUGCAAUGUGGCCGAAGGACAGAAACAAAGGUACUUACUGCCUCUCUAACACCACUGGCCAUGAACUUCCGCUUGUUGAUUAUCUUUACUGCAACUUUAUUACAAGUGCUCUUCUCAAACGCCAGUUUGACUUCUCCACAGGCACCACUAGCAUGAAAGCACAGCUGUGUUAAUGCUUACAGAUACCUUCCUAACUCAGCCUAAGAAGCAUGCUGAAAUGAACAGGAGGCUCUCAUCUCAUUAAGACUACAUGCAAUCAGAGGCUGCAGCUUUCCACCUUUCUCAGUAUGACAGAUGGACAAAACUAUCUCAGAAAACAUUCAAUAGUAUUUAAGUACUGAUGGUGUUGGAUCCCAGUUUCGACCAACUACAAACACACAUAAAUGUUCUUGCAUGUAAAGAAAAUAGAAAGAUAGAAGGAAAAAAAAAGAUACUUUCAAAUCUUGAGCAAUUAAUUCAGAAAUCACAACCUAUGGCUUUUAAGCAUCUCACAUCUCUGAUAACUCUUGAUUCUGGGAUACUCUAAGUGACAGAUAAUGAUAAAAAGCAUUAACUGAUCACUGAAGACAUACAAUAUAAUUUUGGUGAGGUUCACUAAAAUUACAAACUCAACUCCUUUCUUGAUACUCUGGUCUUAAUAAACACAGAGUGCCACAAUGUGUCUGAGGCUAAAUCUGUUGCAUAAGCAAAGACAUUGCCAGUAAGUGUCAGGUUUUGGCAUUCACAUAAAGGGAAAUAAUUAAGGAACCGCACUGCUUCGUGGUCUCUGUUAACGCAGUUGUUGAUCAGCUUGAAGCUGCAGCUGGAAAAGCAUUUGUCAGUAGGACCACGUCCAUUUGUGUUUUAUCUUCAUUGAAACCCACCACAGUCAUUAGAACACUUAUCACAAACUACUGAAAUAAUCUCUGUUAAACCAAAGCACUGCAAUCCUUACCAAACUGAUUUGCUGUGUGCAACAAACAGAAGGUAAACGCACUGCUAAUGGUACCUGCUGCCCUCCCUGCUCUGUGAAACACCUGAAAUAGCUGUGGCAUUGGAAAAACUACAACAGCAGCUCAGGAAGCACAGUACCGAAAAUGGUAACAAAAUGAAGGGAUGCUUACCUUCCCAAAGUCUUUGACAUGAUGUACUUCUCUCGGAAUUCUCUAGGAAACACCAACUGGUCAUCCACCGUGAGAUCAGAAAAGACAAACACUAGGGAGAGGGGUGGAGAGCAUCCUCCUGUUAUUCACUUCAAAAUGGUUACAACGACACUUCCCAAGCUUUUAUGGUCAACAACACAACCAAGCAAACGCUGCCCGCCAGAAACAGCACAGAAAUAGUAAGGAAAACAAGAAUUAGAAAAUUCAUAUUAAAAAAAAACCAUCAGCUGAUGCUGCAAAUUACAGCAAUGAUUGUUGAGCAGGCAAUCUCAUCACUGAAAAACGAGACCUUGGGUCUGUGCCAAACACAGCGAUAAACUUAUGGCUGUUCUUAUGACUUCAGCCAUACGGCAUUCACAGAGACAAGGGAAAUAUUCAAAUCACUGCACAAAGGACCUCCUGGUGAACACCAGAAGAACCUGCAUACGUCAUGCGAUAGCUCACACGACGCAGAAACAAACCAAAGCAAUCCAAGCUACGGGGAGGACAGACGGAGCGGGCAGCAGAGGAGACACGGACUGCCGAGCAGAGCAGCCGGGAGCUCAGCGGGACGGCACGGAACGGAGCUGCACGAAACGGCACGGAGCUGCACGGCGCAUCCUCGGCCCGACGCGGACAGGAGGCCGGGGCCGGCGGUCACGUACCCCAAUUGCUGAAACCUUUUCCGAGCGCGAAGAGCCGACCCCACGGCUGGGGAACGAGCUCGUCGGGUUCCGGGUCCUCGGGAACGGAGGGCAGCUCCUGCGUGGGCACGGUGUCCAGCGAGCUGAGCGUGCCGGAGCUG